rnacentral:sRNA from 1 species
AGGGCAUCUGGGGAAGCCACAAGCACCUUGGAUGACCAUGGCCCACGCACAUGCCCCCCUUCCCUUCUCCAAGCAUGGCUGAGUGUGAGGGGCACCUCCCAUGCCACAGGGCAGGGACAGGAGCAGAGGGCAGCCCCAGACCAGCCCCUUCCUCCUGCCUGCUCUGCAGCCCCCAGGGAUGGCGCCGACAGACGCUGGCACCAGGGAGGACACCACCCUCGGGUGCUCAGGAACAGACCGCCCCCAGCGCGCCUGCCGGAGCUGCGCCUGCUCAAUGACCACAGCGCCCCCGAGACCCCCACCCAGCCCCCCAGGUACAUGCCCCACCCGUCGGCCCCAUCGCCCGAGGCGGCGCUCGGACUGUGGUGACCCUUCCACCCUCUCUGCAGGUUCUCGGAGCUUGUGGACGGCAGAGGAAGAGUGAGCGCCAGAUUCGGCGGCUCACCCAGCAAAGCAGCCACCGUGAGAUCACGUGAGUGCCAGGGCCUCCCCACCAACCUUGGUGGCCAACGCUUGUCCUCACUGCCACUCUCACCAGGCCUGUCCCCUACAUGAUGAGCCCACCCCCACUCCCAGCGCAGUCUCCAGCCAGGGACCCCCACCCCGACGGUACGCAAGGCGCGGGGCUCAUGGGGCGCCGGCAGCAUGCACCUCCAUGGCGGGAGGGGCAGCUCGUGAGGGCCUCACGUCAGUGUGUGGGCUGGAGGCACAGGCUGCUGGUAAGGCACGCAAGAGAAGAUAAACAUUUUAGAAGCAGGUCUGAGACAUUACAGCAGCUUUAUUUGCCAAAGUAGGGCUCUGAGCUUUGUUUUAGUAAGCCAUGGGCAAGAGGCCAUGAGGGUCUAACCCGCCACUCCGAGUGUGGUCCAGCAAAUCCUCCGCCACUGUCCUAGCAAGAUCCUCCCGGUGGCAGCAAGGCUGAUGGGCCCAGGUGCCUCGGCCCCUUCCCACCGGGUUUACUGGGUGAGUGCCGCUCUGGGAAUCUGCCUGUGAUUCUGACACAGAAGCCCUGAGACAUGUUGGCAGGAGUGAGGCAGGCGCCACCCUGCCCCAGAGGAGACCUCUCUGGCCCUUGCCUCUCACCUGGAAGGCCAGGUGCUCAUCCUCAUGGAACUCCCCAACAGAGCCUAGUCACCAGUUUAAUGAACACGUUCUGAACAAAAACUCCUCAGUCAGGGGAGGGAGGGAAAUGCAGCAAGGAGAGUGGCAAGGAGGGAGCAGAGCCCUGGGGUCCCUGCCGCACGGUGAGCAGGGGAGAGAGCCCCCAGCAAGGUGUCUGAGGAGAGGGCAGGCAGCUGCCCGGGAUGUCCAGUAGUGGGCAGGUGAGAUCUGGAGUACAGAGGGGGGCCCGUUGUACUUGUAGCUAUGGAAGCGGAUAUCAAGUGCCCGAGGGUGCGGUUGAGAUCCCUGCAUGAGAAGUGAUGCGGCUGGGGGCGAGGGCAUGAGGAAGGUCAGUACAGACUGAGGGCAGCUCAGAGAGAACAGGGGGUGCCGCAGCCUCCAAGAAGCAGGGGUGGAAGGAGAGGAGUGCAGAAUUUGACCCUAAAAAGAAAGCAACCGCAUCAGCCGUGAGGAUGGGGCCUCUCAGCAUGAUCGCUGGUGGCUGUCCCUGAAGCAGCUCUGAGGGGGUCCUGCAAGGGGAAGGCCCCGCCCUCCAGAGGGUCAGCAGGAGGGCGAGGCCAGCCCUUCAGGGGAGGCAGCGCUGGGGCCAACAGGUGCCGGGGCCACACAGGGAGCCUGGUCCCCACCAGGGACAUCCGUGCUCCCUGAGGUAUAGAAGCACUCAAAAGGGUGGCCCCAGGACCAUCCCGGGUGCAAAGCAGCUGCGCCGUGUGGUCACCGCCUGGCUUCUCCUAGAACCCACAGCCUCGGCGCAGCUCGAGAACACAGAGGAAGCCCCCAAGCAGGUCAGCCUGGCCCUCCAGCUCCCUGAACACAGCAACAAGGACGUCGGAAGUAAGUCAGCAGCGCUGGUGGGGACUUUGGGACUGACUGCUCUCAGGGGCCUUAGAGGCUGUAGGCAGGAGGGACCACCCACAGUGAGGAAACAGGAGGCACAGAGCCUACCUGAGGGGAGCCCGAGCGCCAGGCACCCCGGUGUGGGAAGAUGGGGUGAAGCUACACCACCCAAGCAGUGGGACCCCACAGACCUGAACAGGCCAGGGGGCAGGACCCACCCAAACCACCCAGAGUCUGAGCUAGUGAGACUGGCUUUGCCACUGCCUCCCCUCCCCUCCCCUCCUUCGCCUCCACAUGCAACAGAGCCCACCCCACCCCCUGCCUCUGGACCCCUCACCCCUCGCUUCUCCAAAGAGGAGCAGGCAGUCAGGAUGGGGGAAGCAGAGGGAGCAGCCACUGGGCGAGCCCCAGCUUGAGGACCAGCUGGGCCCUGCGGACACUCAGGUUAUGCAGGACCUGAACUGUCUCCUAGGCCGGGGCUCUGCCUCGUGAGAAUCGAGGCCAGCAAGUCCCUGCAGGGCACCAAGCAUCUGCUGAGCACCUGCAGUAAGAGUUCCCAGAUGCUCAAGAGGCAGUUCCCCUUCGGGCAGCACCAAUACAUGUGUGUUCCUCACCCUGAGUCAGACUCUACCUUUCUCCUGGUUCUAAUCCUUUGGGGCUGUGUCCUCUAUGGACAGCUCUCCUAGCACCCGGUGACCUAUACUCCUCUGAGUCACACCACAGACUCAGAUUGGGAUCACCCCUCAACCCAACCCCAAAGAAGGCCUAGUACUUGGUAAAGGUGUGAGCUGCUGAGCAUGGUCUCACCCGCAAGGCCUUGCCCCAGCUUCUCAAGGACAUCUGUACACAUCAAGGGCACCUGCGGUGCCAGAGGGUGCGUUUGUAAGUGGCAGUUUUGCCGAACCCUAAGUUCACCUUCCCCCCCGCCCUCACCGUACGAAGUCUGGACUUGCUGCUAGCCCCUGUGAGCACCAGGAGGACUGGUUUGUGCAUCUGAUGCGGUGAGUGAAGGAUUCUCUUAAUUAAGGUGUGGCCCAUUCAGAGUGAAGACUCUCGUGUUGAUCUUUAAGUGAACUAAAACAAACAUUUCAUCAGACGGUUUGCAUUAUGUCAGCCCCUUUAAAUACCAGGUAUUCAUUUCCUAGAACUCAGAAAUUGGAGGGGCAUGUGUUACCCUCCUGGGUCUCUUUAGCAGGAGAGAUUCAAGAUGACCGCCGGGCUGGCCCCGAGGUCACUGCAGUCAUGUGGUGUUUGCCAGCACUAGAUGCUCAUGCCCUGGUGGGUGCAAAAUGAUUUUAAGUGAUAACACGAAAAGUAGACUCUUUAGUGGCCCCUCGAUGCGCAAAGCCAGUCAUGAUCUUUGGUUCAUGUUGCACUCUCACGCUAGCUACCUUUUAUUUAGUUAUUAGCCUUUGACUAAUGACUUUAAAUCAAGAACCCAACCUAUAAACUUGAAUGUGAACCAUACCUUCUAUCUUGCCAUCAUACUGCCUGUUCUCUCCCCUCAGUUAACCGUGAUGCUGAACUUCGUGCCUAGAAUGUCUUUGUUUUUUUCAGAGUGGAAGGUGGGGGGAGUGAUUUUAUCGUACAUAUAUGUGUGGCAGAACAAUAAGUGAGUUUUCUUUGCAAGAUAAUUAUCUUGCCAUAUGUGAUCGUUAGACCUGUGUUUUCACUCCACAUUCUCGGACAGAGGUUGGCCCAUGAGGUCUGGGCGGCUGCGGCUUACUCACACCCACUACUGAGCAGAGAGUCCACUGAGUGAAUUGACCGGCUCUUCUCCCCUCUCUGUGCAGAGAGAACAUGUAGGUUGUGUUUGGUAUGAGCAGUGCUGCAGUGGAUGUCCCCGUACAGGUUUUCCAGUAUGUGUGCGAGAGUGGAAAAGCUGGAUCUAGGAUGAGGAUGUGUGAAUGCCCAAAUUACACAAGAACUAAGUCAUUUUCUAAGAGGCGAUAGCAGUCUGCGCUCCCUCCAGCAGUGAUGAAGACAUGCAGUGAAUCCAGUCUCUCUAGAACUAGGUUUUGCUGGGUUUGCAGAUCCUGCAGGCAGAACGGGUGGGUUGCACACCCCUGGGAUCUGGGUUUGCAUCUCCUGAGCACUGAUGUGACGGAGCCUCCUCAUGGGCAUCCACCAAAGGUGUUUGCUUCUGUGAAAUGCCUGAUCACGCCUUUUGACUUUUUGUUGGGUUAUUUGUACUCUUCUUAUUCAUUUGUCAAAAUUCUUAUAUGUUUUGAUACUGA